GAUGAACGCUGGCGGCGUGCCUAAUACAUGCAAGUCGAGCGAACAGACGAGGAGCUUGCUCCUCUGACGUUAGCGGCGGACGGGUGAGUAACACGUGGAUAACCUACCUAUAAGACUGGGAUAACUUAGGGAAACCGGAGCUAAUACCGGAUAAUAUAUUGAACCGCAUGGUUCAAUAGUGAAAGACGGUUUUGCUGUCACUUAUAGAUGGAUCCGCGCCGCAUUAGCUAGUUGGUAAGGUAACGGCUUACCAAGGCAACGAUGCGUAGCCGACCUGAGAGGGUGAUCGGCCACACUGGAGCUGAGACACGGUCCAGACUCCUACGGGAGGCAGCAGUAGGGAAUCUUCCGCAAUGGGCGAAAGCCUGACGGAGCAACGCCGCGUGAGUGAUGAAGGUCUUCGGAUCGUAAAACUCUGUUAUUAGGGAAGAACAAAUGUGUAAGUAACUAUGCACGUCUUGACGGUACCUAAUCAGAAAGCCACGGCUAACUACGUG
rnacentral:rRNA from 1 species